AGUCAUGGUUAUUUAUUGAUGGAAAAUCAGAAGGAGACAGUCUUCAAAAUGACCAGUCAACUGAAGAAGCCAGACUGCGAACAUCUGUAUCUUCCCAUUUGAAAACCUCACCUGUUGCUUGCUCCUACAGAGUACCUGGAAACACUGACCACUCACUUUGCUGAUUGAAGAUUUCCCAGUCAGCUCUGCUGGAAGCCUGGGAUCAUGGAGAAGGAGACAGACUGCAGCACUGUGCUGCAAGUAUGGGAAGAAUGGAAUUAGUUUUGUGGAGGCUGCAAGGAGCGAGCAGUCUGGAAGAAGCUGUGCAGCAGCACCAAGAUGGCUUUGGACUCUGUGAGUACCAAGGUGCGUGGUCACACCUGAUCAGGGCUGUGAGAUUACUGUGAGAUUUGGGUAAGAUGAUCAGGGUUGCAGAGGGAAAAUCUGAAUUACUGGUAACUGUGUUGUGAUAAGAAAGGAGGUUGCACAAGGAGGAUGGUAAGCUUGGGGGGCACCUAACAAGGCAAAAGGGAGAGAAAAUAAUGCUUUAUUUCUAUUUCUUUAACUAGUAAUUGGCUUACUUUCUCCUUUAGAUUGAGUACUUUGUGUAAGAGAAAGCACUGACUGCAGCGUUGAAACACUGUGUUUACACUGCAUUAAUGUAUUAUUACAGACAUUGUGUGACAUGAUUGGAGAGAGGAUGGACUAUCAACAGGUAGCCAGAAGCCUGGGGGGAGUUUCUUAAGAUUUGUGUGCUCCCGUGCCCAUCUCCUCAAAUCCAACCCAGUCUGCUUUGGGGGGAAAAAAACCACCAACCUGUGACUGUGCUCCAUUUAUGAAAAAAAUAGUUAAAUCAGGACAAAAAUAUAA